rnacentral:rRNA from 1 species
GCAAGUCUGGUGCCAGCAGCCGCGGUAAUUCCAGCUCCAAUAGCGUAUAUUAAAGUUGUUGCAGUUAAAAAGCUCGUAGUUGAACCUUGGGCUUGGUUGGCCGGUCCGCCUUUUUGGCGAGUACUGGACCCAACCGAGCCUUUCCUUCUGGCUAACCUUUCGCCCUUGUGGUGUUUGGCGAACCAGGACUUUUACUUUGAAAAAAUUAGAGUGUUCAAAGCAGGCCCUUGCUCGAAUAUAUUAGCAUGGAAUAAUAGAAUAGGACGUUAUGGUUCUAUUUUGUUGGUUUCUAGGACCAUCGUAAUGAUUAAUAGGGACGGUCGGGGGCAUCAGUAUUCAGUUGUCAGAGGUGAAAUUCUUGGAUUACCUGAAGACUAACUACUGCGAAAGCAUUUGCCAAA